rnacentral:rRNA from 1 species
ACUGCUCAGUAACACGUGGAUAACCUGCCCUGCGGUGGGAAAUAACCCCGGGAAACUGGGGAUAAUGUCCCAUAGGCUACGGAUGCUGGAAUGCUCUGUAGCUCAAAGAUUUAUCGCCACAGGAUGGGUCUGCGGCCGAUUAGGUAGUUGUUGGGGUAACGGCCCAACAAGCCUUUGAUCGGUACGGGUUGUGGGAGCAAGAGCCCGGAGAUGGAUUCUGAGACACGAAUCCAGGCCCUACGGGGCGCAGCAGGCGCGAAAACUUUACAAUGCGGGAAACCGUGAUAAGGGAACUCCGAGUGUCCGUAAAUGCGGACUGUCCGUAUGUUUAAAAAGCAUGCGAAGAAAGGGCCGGGCAAGACCGGUGCCAGCCGCCGCGGUAAUACCGGCGGCUCGAGUGGUGGCCACUAUUACUGGGCUUAAAGCGUUCGUAGCUGGGUCGUUAAGUCUCUUGGGAAAUCUACCGGCUUAACCGAUAGGCGUCCAAGGGAUACUGGCGAUCUAGGGACCGGGAGAGGUGAGGGGUACUUCAGGGGUAGGAGUGAAAUCCUGUAAUCCUUGGGGGACCACCUGUGGCGAAGGCGCCUCACCAGAACGGCUCCGACAGUGAGGGACGAAAGCUGGGGGAGCAAACCGGAUUAGAUACCCGGGUAGUCCCAGCCGUAAACGAUGCGCGUUAGGUGUAUCGAUGACCACGAGUCAUCGAGGUGCCGAAGGGAAACCGUGAAACGCGCCGCCUGGGAAGUACGGUCGCAAGGCUGAAACUUAAAGGAAUUGGCGGGGGAGCA